rnacentral:rRNA from 1 species
AGGAAUAUUGGUCAAUGGGCGCGAGCCUGAACCAGCCAAGUAGCGUGAAGGAUGAAGGUCCUACGGAUUGUAAACUUCUUUUAUAAGGGAAUAAAGUCACCCACGUGUGGGUGUUUGUAUGUACCUUAUGAAUAAGCAUCGGCUAACUCCGUGCCAGCAGCCGCGGUAAUACGGAGGAUGCGAGCGUUAUCCGGAUUUAUUGGGUUUAAAGGGAGCGUAGACGGGUCGUUAAGUCAGCUGUGAAAGUUUGGGGCUCAACCUUAAAAUUGCAGUUGAUACUGGCGUCCUUGAGUACGGUUGAGGCAGGCGGAAUUCGUGGUGUAGCGGUGAAAUGCUUAGAUAUCACGAAGAACCCCGAUUGCGAAGGCAGCCUGCUAAACCGCCACUGACGUUGAGGCUCGAAAGUGUGGGUAUCAAACAGGAUUAGAUACCCUGGUAGUCCACACGGUAAACGAUGGAUACUCGCUGUUGGCGAUAGACUGUCAGCGGCUUAGCGAAAGCGUUAAGUAUCCCACCUGGGGAGUACGCCGGCAACGGUGAAACUCAAAGGAAUUGACGGGGGCCCGCACAAGCGGAGGAACAUGUGGUUUAAUUCGAUGAUACGCGAGGAACCUUACCCGGGCUUGAAUUGCAGACGAAUUGCUUGGAAACAGGCAAGCCGCAAGGCGUCUGUGAAGGUGCUGCAUGGUUGUCGUCAGCUCGUGCCGUGAGGUGUCGGCUUAAGUGCCAUAACGAGCGCAACCCUCGUGUCCAGUUACUAGCAGGUUAUGCUGAGGACUCUGGACAGACUGCCAUCGUAAGAUGUGAGGAAGGUGGGGAUGACGUCAAAUCAGCACGGCCCUUACGUCCGGGGCUACACACGUGUUACAAUGGGGGGUACAGAGGGCCGCUACCACGCGAGUGGAUGCCAAUCCCCAAAACCUCUCUCAGUUCGGACUGGAGUCUGCAACCCGACUCCACGAAGCUGGAUUCGCUAGUAAUCGCGCAUCAGCCACGGCGCGGUGAAUACGUUCCCG